AGCGAACGUUAGCGGCGGGCCUAACACAUGCAAGUCGAACGCGAAAGGUCUUCGGACUGAGUAGAGUGGCGCACGGGUGAGUAACACGUAGGUAAUCUACCCUUUGGCGGGGGAUAACGUUCCGAAAGGAGCGCUAAUACCGCAUAAGACCACGGAGUCUCCGGACGCUGUGGGAAAAGGUGGCCUCUUCUUGAAAGCUACCACCGAAGGAUGAGCCUGCGUCCCAUCAGCUAGUUGGUAAGGUAAUGGCUUACCAAGGCGAAGACGGGUAGCUGGUUUGAGAGAAUGAUCAGCCACACUGGCACUGGAACACGGGCCAGACUCCUACGGGAGGCAGCAGUGAGGAAUAUUGGGCAAUGGGCGAAAGCCUGACCCAGCCACGCCGCGUGAGUGAUGAAGGCCCUCGGGUCGUAAAGCUCUGUGGAGAGGGAC
rnacentral:rRNA from 1 species